rnacentral:tRNA from 1 species
UGUGGUGUAUCUCAGUGGAAGAGUGUUUGCCUAGUAUGCACAAGACCUGGGUUUGAUACCCAGCAUGAGAG